CACGUAGGGCGCAAGCGUUGUCCGGAAUUAUUGGGCGUAAAGAGCUCGUAGGCGGUCUGUUGCGUCCGCUGUGAAAACUCGGGGCUUAACCCCGAGCCUGCAGUGGAUACGGGCAGACUAGAGGUAGGUAGGGGAGAAUGGAAUUCCCGGUGUAGCGGUGAAAUGCGCAGAUAUCGGGAGGAACACCGGUGGCGAAGGCGGGAUCGUCCUGGGACCG
rnacentral:rRNA from 1 species